rnacentral:lncRNA from 1 species
CUGCCACCUAUUUCUCUAGAAACUGUCAAAGUUGAGCUGCUGCCGUCUGAGCUCGAAGCUGGGUUCUUCCUCCUGAGAAUCUCAUUCUGAAGAAUUACUAUUAUGAUCUCGUCUAUCUUGAUGGUGCUCUUUCCCACUAGAAGAGUAAUUACCAAAGACUUAUAUGAAGAGGAAAGCAAUGCUAGCAAGACCAAUGCCCUAGUCUUCUUCUCAACUUUCUCGUCAAUGCUGAAAAGAUUGGUGAGGAUAUUUUGGAGGUGGCUUAGA